GGAAUGUAGACAGUUAGGUCAUGUUAGAUCAUAUGCUCUUAGCUGUCUACUUUUGAUUCAACAAAUCGCUCCCAAUGAGUCUUACUUGUAGGAGGAUCAUGUGGUGGCUGGCAAACUGAACUUGAGGUACUUGCAUGGACUUACUUCUACAUGGGAGUAGAAUCAGAAGACAACCAUGCUUUGCCAUGCUAUCUGAAGAAAUUACCACCAACUCUGCCCUGCUCCUCUCUGCCACCUUUUCACUGGAUAAUGCUGCUCAUUUAGAUCUGGUGGUGCAUCCUGUACACCAGAUGUAGAGAAGCCAGUAUAUCCAGCCUAGAGUGAACACAUCCUUUCAUUUACUCCCCUUCCUUAAAUAUAGAGCCCAUUUUGAAGUAAAGAGAAGGAAAAUGCUGUGAUUCAUACGGUAUCAAUAUUUACAUCUAUGAGUUCACAGAUUUGUUAAACUGUUUA
rnacentral:lncRNA from 1 species